rnacentral:rRNA from 1 species
UGGGGAAUAUUGCACAAUGGGGAAACCCUGAUGCAGCGACGCCGCGUGAACGAAGAAGGUAUUCGUAUCGUAAAGUUCUGUCCUAUGGGAAGAUAAUGACAGUACCAUAGAAGAAAGCUCCGGCUAAAUACGUGCCAGCAGCCGCGGUAAUACGUAUGGAGCGAGCGUUGUCCGGAAUUAUUGGGCGUAAAGGGUACGCAGGCGGUUUAAUAAGUCGAAUGUUAAAGAUCGGGGCUCAACCCCGCAAAGCAUUGGAAACUGAUAAACUUGAGUAGUGGAGAGGAAAGUGGAAUUCCUAGUGUAGUGGUGAAAUACGUAGAUAUUAGGAGGAAUACCAGUAGCGAAGGCGACUUUCUGGACACAAACUGACGCUGAGGUACGAAAGCGUGGGGAGCAAACAGG